CAAAGGAUUAGUCCUAACUUUAGUAUCACCUUUUACUGGAUUUACACAUGCAAGUCUCCGCACCCCCGUGAGAAUGCCCUUGAGUCCUAAAACUAGGGACAAGGAGCAGGUAUCAGGCACACCCCGGUAGCCCAUGACGCCUUGUUUAGCCACACCCCCAAGGGAACUCAGCAGUGAUAGACAUUAAGCCAUAAGUGAAAACUUGACUUAGUUACAGUAAUUCUAGGGCCGGUAAAACUCGUGCCAGCCACCGCGGUUAGACGAGAGGCUCAAGCUGAUGAAUCACGGCGUAAAGAGUGGUUAAGGAAUCCCCAGAACUAAAGCCAAACGCCCCCCAAGCCGUUGUACGCUCCCGGGGGUAGGAAGCCCCACCACGAAAGUGGCUUUAAUCCCCCUGACUCCACGAAAGCUACGGCACAAACUGGGAUUAGAUACCUCACUAUGCCUAGCCCUAAACAAUGACAGCGUCACACGUACCGCUGUCCGCCCGGGUACUACGAGCACUAGCUUAAAACCCAAAGGACUUGGCGGUGCUUCAUACCCACCUAGAGGAGCCUGUUCUAGAACCGAUAAUCCCCGUUCAACCUCACCCUCUCUUGUCCCAUUCCGCCUAUAUACCACCGUCGUCAGCUUACCCUCUGAGGGUCUUAUAGUAAGCAAGACUGGCAUAACCCCAAACGUCAGGUCGAGGUGUAGCGCAUGAGAGGGGAAGAAAUGGGCUACAUUCUCUAUCACAGAGAACACGGACGGUACAAUGAAAUAAAUACCUUGAAGGAGGAUUUAGCAGUAAGUAUAAAGUAGAACAUUUUACUGAAGCUGGCCCUGAAGCGUGCACACAUCGCCCGUCACUCUCUCCGAGCCGACACUACUAAUUAACUAAAACCCCAAUGCAGGACACAGGAGAGGCAAGUCGUAACACAGUAAGUGUACCGGAAGGUGCACUUGGAAUAAG
rnacentral:ncRNA from 1 species